GACGAACGCUGGCGGCGUGCUUAACACAUGCAAGUCGAACGGAAAGGCCCUGCUUUUGUGGGGUGCUCGAGUGGCGAACGGGUGAGUAACACGUGAGUAACCUGCCCUUGACUUUGGGAUAACUUCAGGAAACUGGGGCUAAUACCGGAUAGGAGCUCCUGCUGCAUGGUGGGGGUUGGAAAGUUUCGGCGGUUGGGGAUGGACUCGCGGCUUAUCAGCUUGUUGGUGGGGUAGUGGCUUACCAAGGCCUUGACGGGUAGCCGGCCUGAGAGGGUGACCGGCCAAAUCGGGACUGAGAUACGGCACAGACUCCUACGGGAGGCAGGAGAGGGGAAUAGUGUACAAUGGGCGGAAGCCUGAUGCAGCACCGCCGCGUGCGGGAUGACGGCCUUCGGGUUGUAAACCGCUUUCGCCUGUGACGAAGCGUGAGUGACGGUAAUGGGUAAAGAAGCACCGGCUAACUACGUG
rnacentral:rRNA from 1 species